rnacentral:lncRNA from 1 species
AGCUUUUCCAUGCAAUUAGCAUUAGGGUUUUAAACCCUAAAUUGAAUUUUUCCUUUAGUCAGCAUUGGGGUUUUAAACCCUAAACUGAACUUUUUUCUAUUCAGCCAGCAUUAGGGUUUUAAACCCUAAACUGAGCUUUUCUAUGCAAUCAGCAUUAGGGUUUUAAACCCUAAACUGAAAUUUUCCUUCAGUCAGCAUUAGGGUUUUAAACCCUAAACUGAACUUUUCCUUUAGUCAGCAUUAAGGUUUUAAACCCUAAACUGAACUUUUUUCCAUUCAGCCAGCAUUAGGGUUUUAAACCUUAAACUGAGCUUUUCCAUGCAAUCAGCAUUAGGGUUUUAAACCCUAAACUGAAUUUUUCCUUUAGUCAGCAUUAGGGUUUUAAACCCUAAACUGAACUUUUUCCAUUCAGCCAACAUUAGGGUUUUAAACCCUAAACAGAGCUUUUCCAUGCAGUCAGCAUUAGAGUUUUAAACCCUAAACUGAAUUUUUCCUUUUAGUCAGCAUUAGGGUUUUAUACCCUAAACUGAACUUUUUCCAUUCAGCUAGCAUUAGGGUUUUAAACCCUAAACUGAGCUUUUCCAUUCAGCUAGCAUUAGGGUU